rnacentral:rRNA from 1 species
GACGAACGCUGGCGGCGUGCUUAACACAUGCAAGUCGAGCGGUAAGGCCCUUUCGGGGGUACACGAGCGGCGAACGGGUGAGUAACACGUGGGUGACCUGCCCUCAGCUCUGGGAUAAGCCUGGGAAACCGGGUCUAAUACUGGAUAUGACUCCAUGACGCAUGUUGUGGGGUGGAAAGCCUUGUGCGGCUGAGGAUGGGCCCGCGGCCUAUCAGCUUGUUGGUGGGGUGANGGCCUACCAAGGCGACGACGGGUAGCCGGCCUGAGAGGCGACCGGCCACACUGGGACUGAGACACGGCCCAGACUCCUACGGGAGGCAGCAGUGGGGAAUCUUGCGCAAUGGGCGAAAGCCUGACGCAGCGACGCCGCGUGA